rnacentral:rRNA from 1 species
AGCUUCAGUAGCGUAUAUUAAAGUUGUUGCAUUUAAAAAGCUCGUAGUUGAUGUUUCGCUAGUCGUCGCGCUUCGCUUUUUGCGUUGCAUUGUCGGCUGGUCGUUUUUCGGCUUUUAGCCGUUUCUACCGUGAGUAAAUUAGAGUGAUCCAGACAGGCGAUGCCGGAAUGUUUCAGCAUGGCAUGGGUUCUCGACAGAGGCACUGCGAUUUUGGCUUGGCUGAAUAGCAGCUGCGCUGUAAAGAUUAAUAGAGAUAGGUGAUGGAAUCCGUAUUGAAUUGCUAGAGGUGAAAUUCUUGGACCAAUUCAAGACGAACCGAAGCGAAAGCUUUUUCCACAUACGCUCUUU